rnacentral:rRNA from 1 species
AGCGAACGCUGGCGGCAGGCUUAACACAUGCAAGUCGAGCGGGCACUUUCGGGUGUCAGCGGCGGACGGGUGAGUAACGCGUGGGAACGUGCCCUCUGGUUCGGAAUAACUCAGGGAAACUUGAGCUAAUACCGGAUACGCCCUUUUGGGGAAAGGCUUGCUGCCGGAGGAUCGGCCCGCGUCUGAUUAGCUAGUUGGUGAGGUAACGGCUCACCAAGGCGACGAUCAGUAGCUGGUCUGAGAGGAUGAUCAGCCACACUGGGACUGAGACACGGCACAGACUCCUACGGGAGGCAGCAGUGGGGAAUAUUGGAAAAUGGGCGCAAGCAUGAUCCAGCCAUGCCGCGUGAGUGAUCAAGGCAUUAGGGUUGUAAAGCUCUUUUAUCCGGGACGAUAAUGACGGUACCGGAGGAAUAAGCCCCGGCUAACUUCGUG